UACGUAGGGCGCAAGCGUUGUCCGGAAUUAUUGGGCGUAAAGAGCUCGUAGGUGGCUUGUCACGUCGGGUGUGAAAGCUUGGGGCUUAACUCCAGGUCUGCAUUCGAUACGGGCAGACUAGAGUGCGGUAGGGGAGACUGGAAUUCCUGGUGUAGCGGUGAAAUGCGCAGAUAUCAGGAGGAACACCGGUGGCGAAGGCGGGUCUCUGGGCCGUAACUGACGCUGAGGAGCGAAAGCGUGGGGAGCGAACGGG
rnacentral:rRNA from 1 species